CCUUAAAUUCUUGUAAUUCAAGGAAAAAAAAUAAUUUUUUACCUUUAAGAUUUAAAUAAUUUUUAUCUUAAAAAAAUUCUUUACUGACCAUGAUUGACCGGAUAAAUCCUUACUAGUAAUAAAAUUAAAGUGCCAGCAAUUGCGGCUAUACUUUUAAUAAAAUUAUUUUGUUAAUUAUUAACCUCUAAAUCGUUUUACUUUAAAUAUUUUAAGUACAAUUUUAUAAUUAAAAACUCAACAAAUUUAACCUAAUAUAAAUUUAUAAUUUAAAAAAGGAUUAGAUACCCUUGUAUUUAUAUUAAUUAUUGGUAGUAAUUUUUAAUAAAACCUUUGUAUAAUGGUGGCAUUUCAUUUUAUUAGAGGAAUAUGUUUAAUAAUCGUCAUCACACGAUCAUUUUCACUUUUAUCUACAUUUUAUAUACCGCCGUUUUGAAUAAAUUUAAAAGUUUUAUUCUAAAGAAAAUUCUAAAAAUUUAGGUAAAGGUGUAAACCAUAUAAAAGAUAAAAUGUAUUACAUUAAAUAAAAUUUAAGGACUAAAUUAAAUAUAAUUUAAAGAAAUAGGAUUUAAAAGUAUUGUUUAAUUAAUAUUAAAAUUUGAAUCAAAAAAUAAAUGUGCACAUAUCGCCCGUCACCCUUAUCUCAAGGUAAGGUAAGUCGUAACAUAGUUAAUGUUCUAGAAAGAGCAUUUA
rnacentral:ncRNA from 1 species